rnacentral:rRNA from 1 species
AUUCCAGCUCCAGUAGCGUAUAUUAAAGUUGUUGCAGUUAAAAAGCUCGUAGUUGGAUUUCUGGCGGGAGCGACCGGUCGGCCCUUGUGGUGUGUACUAGCGUUGCGUCCGGCCAUAUUUGCGGAGAGCGCGUGUGGCAUUAAUUUGUCGUGCUCGGGACCCGCAUCGUUUACUGUGAGAAAAUUAGAGUGUUCAAAGCAGGCUUAUGCCUUGGAUAUGUUAGCAUGGAAUAAUAAGAUAAGACUUUGGCGGUCUAUUUUGUUGGUUUGCACGCCAUUGUAAUGAUUGAUAGGGACAGUUGGGGGUAUUCAUAUUUAAUUGUCGGAGGUGAAAUUCUUGGAUUUAUGAAAGAUGAACUACUGCGAAAGCAUUUACCAAGGAUGUUUUCAUUA